UUAAGUCUUCAACGGAUCUUCAGAUCCGUCCACGAACAUCGAGAUCCGGUAAAGGCUCAACGGAUGUCUCAUCUUCGUUGCAGCCUUUGACGUUUCUCUUAUUCUUCAUUUAACACAAAAUAGAGACAUAUAUAAUCACUAACCUAGAUCGAAGACAAUAACAAAGAAAGCACCAAACUCCAUAGCACCACGAACCCACCACGAAUCAAAUAACACAUGAUAAAUUGGAAGAAAAGGAAGAUGAGAAAUUGGAAAAAGAGAAGAAGAGAAUAAGAGUGAAAGAGAGAAAGUGAGAGUGUCGGGGUAAGGGUGGGGUGUGGUGUGCCACCGAGUGAAUAAGAAAGUAAAAAAAAAUUAAGAUUUUAAGAAAAGGUUAAAAAAGGUAAAGGAAAAAUAAAUAUGGAUAUUUUUGAAAUUAAAAAAAUUGGAGAGGUGUAAGGAAUGUGUGGUGGUAGAGGGAGUGAUGCUCUUCAAGGUAAGAACAACUCACAGCCCAAAUUCAAUGGGCCUAGAUUCCAUUCCCUUAGAGUUCUCUUUUCUGCACCCUCAAUAUAACUACUACACUUCCAUAAAAGAGUAAAAAUACUAAAAAUACUCUUCUCACUCUAUUCACCAUUACUGGACGUGCUACCGUUAAAAAGAAAAGAGAGAACUUAUUCUGAACAGAUAUUUGUUUUAGAAAACUUGUUUUAAAAUAUAAUAUCUGUUUUUGUUUAUUAUGAAAAACUUGUUUUAGAAAAGAU
rnacentral:lncRNA from 1 species